rnacentral:antisense_RNA from 1 species
AGCUUUAGUCCCUGGGACCGUUUCUGUGCCCAAGGAGAGGGAGGGCAGGGGAAGGAUGGAAUUUCAUCUAGAGUAGCAGGUCCUGGUUACCUGGUAAAUUAUGCAUCAGGACUGGGCUAGCCACUGCCUCCGUUUUCUCUGGGCUCCUGAGAUAACCUCCACCUGCCUCUAGAUUCUGUGCCAGCUGAUCGUAUCUAUCUCAUCAACUCUUGUUCCAUCAGGAAACUGCAUCUUGGUGGAUGAUGAACCAAUAAACCUGGACACAAUCUCCCGAAUAACACCACACAUGCCAACAAAUGACGUCAGCAUUCCAGAAUGUAAGCGGCUGGAAUCUGACGAAGAUAAGAACUAACGAAAAUCCCACAUGAGUCAUGCUAAUAUACACAAAGAGGGCUCAGAUUCCAAGAAUCAAUUUCCAGAUCAGUAAGCCAAGAUCAGAGCAUGGUAAACACCUAUCAUAAAUGAAAUGGUAGAAUCCUGACAUGGUGUUUAAUGAUGGCUUUACAAAGUAUCACAUUUCAUAGCUGUGAACUAUCCCCAAAUCAUCUCACAAAAAAGGAAAGAUCAAAGAAAAGGGCAAUUCAGAAAAGAUCUUAUUUCUCUCUCUCUCUCUUGCAUGAAAAAGAGCACAUAAAAUAGAAGCAGUGGUUACCCCAGCGUGGCCCUUCAGAGAACCGAGGUAACUAUGGUAACUAAGAACGGUCUUUUAGUUCGCAAGGUUCGAAUUCUAGAACUGUUGGUUGGAUUUGGGGUAAGUCCCAUAAGGGAGAGCUGCGAACUUCAAGUGUGGAAUGGUUCAUUCUCUAGGGAGAUAGCAACCUUUUCCUAAAAAAUCUUGGUUCUUCAUUGCUGGAGAGAAGAACAAGCCCUGUGAAGCAGUCAGAGAUCCUUAUACCCAGCAGACUUAAGGGUGUGGUAUUCAAGGAAAAAAACACUUUGGGAAAUAGAGAAGAAACUGAUCAGGAACACCAGACUUUUCUUUAUAAAUACGUAUGUUUUAAGAGCAACAAAACAGAGACAAUUUUCUCAAAAUAAGCAACCACUAAAAUGUCAAGGAAGGACCCAUUUAUGACUUAAAAUUCCCAUGGCUCUCUAAUGAAAGCAAUGCUAAUUUCGGCCUUGGGAAAGUGGAAAAAAUAUAUAGUUAUGAAAAGUCCUCACCUUUCUUGUAAUUUCUUGAGUUUCUCAGGGUCUGCCUUUAUCUUACUGGUUUCCUUUUCAUCUGUGAAACCAGAGGCUGCCAUCCUGCUCCCAUUAUCAUUUUGAUUUGGGAAAUGAGACACUGCAAAGAAAGUAAAUGGUAUAUUUUCUUGCAGAGACCCAGACACAUGCAAAUGGCCUUCUGAGUUCAUUCUUGAUGGAGAGGAGCUGGAAGAAUCCACUAAGGACAAAUUGCCCUGUGGAUUUAGUAAGAGAUCUGUAUAUAAUGGAGCCCCCUGAGGCUGGCUUGUUAAAGUAGUAUCUUCUGCUUCCCUGACAGCAAAUUCGUGUGCACUGUUUACUGGGAAAUAAUUAUGGUUUUCGGCACUGGCAAAUGGAGUCCUAUUUCUAAUGGGAGACAGUGGUUGGCAAACAUGAAACCCUGAGUUUCCCUCUGAGUCUGAGCUGUGAACUGAAGUCGAUGACAUUGACAAGUCUAAUGGAAUAUCAUCUCUCAGAGCAGAAUGCAUGAAUGAUGCAGGAGGGUUAUAGGAUGAAUUCACUGAUGAUCUUGGAGAUAUUGGUCUGCCAGAAAUAAAGUAGUCAAGAGAAUUUUGAGAACUGUUUAAAUAGUCUUGCCAGUAUCCUUCAGAAUCAUGGGUGCCAGGCCUAUGUUCCACAGAAAUACAAUCACUCCAUGCAUUUUCAGCAUUGACACCAACCUCUUGUCUGGGCUCGGAUUUGGUGUCCCACGAAAGAGGGCUCUUUUUCGCAUUUUCACUGCCACCUCUGUCCUUCUCUGUAGCAGAUUCCCUAUCAGGCAGCCAGGGGUCUUGGGACAACCUUUGCCCAGCAGAAGGCCGCUCUGUUGCUGGCUCCAUUGCAUUGCUUAUUCUCAAUGAGCCAUGACUGGGCUCACUUCUUCUUGAAGAAUGACCUCUGCAAUUUUCAGCAUUUUCUUCAAAAUUUUUAUUUUUGGCCUGAGGGGUCGAUGUCCCCCUAAAUCUACUUCUUUUGUGAUGGGAAGGAGAACGGGGUGAGCGCAUACCAACCCACAGACAUUCUUCAACCUGGGUUUCCUCUUCAGUGUCAUCGCUUUCUCUUCUGCUGUUCAAUGACAAAAUGGAAUAGAAGUCUUCAUCUCGGAACCUAAAUGAUGCCUUUCUUGGCCCUCCUACAGUGGUGGGUGUGAGUGGUGGCCCCGAGAACUCACUCAAUACUUGAGGACUAUUUGUUCCUUGGAAGGCCUGGGACAGGGCUGGAUGCAGCUCACUCUGGGAAGGAGCACUCGGGUCUCCUUUUUUGGCUCUAUCAGGGGGGUUCUCAGUCAUUGGCUGUGACGAUGGGACCAAGUUUCUUCUCUCUCGAUUUGGCCUCUUCAGCUUAGUGUUACACAUCAGGACUUCUUGUUGAACUACUUGAUCUGCAUUGAGAAAAGACACAUUUAUCAUUCCAGUAAAAGGGCCCAUGGAUGAAAGGCCUCUAGCACCAAGUGCAAAAUUGCCCUUUAAAUGCAACAGAUAAGACCUAGAGAAGAAAACAGACACGGUCAAAAUGGCUGGAGGUACAAGAGGAGCAGAGCCCAGCAGGCUUCAUUUUACUGCCCCGUAUUCUCCUUUGUACCCCUGUGGUCCUAGGGAAACGGGGGGACCCUGAGGAUACAGAUUCUUUCUGCAGAAGCUCCCGGAAGACUGGCCCUGGCCCAGCCCCAGCCAGUCAGGACUGAUGAUGCGCAAACCUCACACUAAAUACUGGCUUUUGUUCCAUACGUACUGAAAGGGAAAACCACCACUCUGGGAAUGACUUCUACAAAAACCACCAGCCCUUUCUCAUCCACGUUCAUUCAAUGUACAUUUAUGACACCCUGCCUCCCACGCAGCUUUACAAGAACUUAAGAGAAGUACAACAUGUCUUGGCAGAUCAGGAGGAAGGCUAUAGGAGCUGGCGCCCGGGGAACACUGGGGAUUUUGGUCAUGUUUACUAUUUAGUGAAAAUAAAAAUUAUAAAUCGCU